AGAGUUUGAUCAUGGCUCAGAGCGAACGCUGGCGGCAGGCCUAACACAUGCAAGUCGAACGGAUCCUUCGGGAUUAGUGGCGGACGGGUGAGUAACACGUGGGAACGUGCCUUUUGGUUCGGAAUAACUCAGGGAAACCUGUGCUAAUACCGGAUGUGCCCUUCGGGGGAAAGAUUUAUCGCCAUUAGAGCGGCCCGCGUCUGAUUAGCUUGUUGGUGAGGUAAAGGCUCACCAAGGCGACGAUCAGUAGCUGGUCUGAGAGGAUGAUCAGCCACACUGGGACUGAGACACGGCCCAGACUCCUACGGGAGGCAGCAGUGGGGAAUCUUGCGCAAUGGGCGAAAGCCUGACGCAGCCAUGCCGCGUGAAUGAUGAAGGUCUUAGGAUUGUAAAAUUCUUUCACCGGGGACGAUAAUGACGGUACCCGGAGAAGAAGCCCCGGCUAACUUCGUGCCAGCAGCCGCGGUAAUACGAAGGGGGCUAGCGUUGCUCGGAAUUACUGGGCGUAAAGGGAGCGUAGGCGGAUAGUUUAGUCAGAGGUGAAAGCCCAGGGCUCAACCUUGGAAUUGCCUUUGAUACUGGCUAUCUUGAGUAUGGGAGAGGUAUGUGGAACUCCGAGUGUAGAGGUGAAAUUCGUAGAUAUUCGGAAGAACACCAGUGGCGAAGGCGACAUACUGGCCCAUUACUGACGCUGAGGCUCGAAAGCGUGGGGAGCAAACAGGAUUAGAUACCCUAGUAGUCC
rnacentral:rRNA from 1 species